GAUACCCUACUAUACUAAAAAUUAAUAUGCAUAAAUGUAGCUAGAUUAUUAUAAGAUAUGUUCUUUAAAUUUAAAGAAUUUGGCGGUGAUUUAGUCUGGUCAGAGGAACCUGUUUUUUAAUCGAUAAUCCACGGAGAAUCUUACUCAUUUUAAAAAGUUUGUAUACCGUCAUUAGCAGAUAAUUUUUAAGAGAAAUAAUUGUUGCAAUUUAUAAAUAUUAUUUAAAUUAGAUCAAGGUGCAGCUUAUAAGUGAGUUAAAAUGGGUUACAAUAAAUUUUAUUUAAAACGGAAAAAUCUAGGAAGAAAUAUAGGGUUUAAAGGAGGAUUUGAUUGUAAUAUAAAUUUAAUAUGUUUAGGAGAUAUAAGCUCUAAAUUAUGUACAU
rnacentral:rRNA from 1 species